GUCUGUGCGAAGGUAUGUAGAGUCUGGCCUGCCCACUGACUUAGUGUGUUUAAAGGGCCGCGGUAUUUUGACCGUGCGAAGGUAGCAUAAUCAUUAGUCUUUUAAUUGAAGGCUUGUAUGAAUGGUCGGACAAAAAGUAAGCUGUCUUCAACUGUAAAAAUUGAAUUUGACUUUUAAGUGAAAAGGCUUAAAUAAUACAAAGUGACGAUAAGACCCUAUAAAGCUUUACAGUGUAACUUUUUAUUACAAAUUAUAAGAGCGUAUAACUUAAUUUAAAGUAAAACUGUUUCGUUGGGGCGACGAAAAUAUAAUAAAAUAACUGUUUUUGUUUAAAUAAAACAAAUAUUUUUGGUUUUAAUAAAUGAUCCUUUAUUAAAGAUUAAAAGAUUAAGUUACUUUAGGGAUAACAGCGUAAUCUUCUUUGAGAGUUCAUAUCGACAAGAAGGGUUGCGACCUCGAUGUUGAAUUAAGGUUCCUUUGUGGUGUAGCAGCUGCAGUUGGAGGUCUGUUCGACCUUUAAAUCCUUACAUGAUUUGAGUUCAGACCGGCGUAAG
rnacentral:rRNA from 1 species